rnacentral:rRNA from 1 species
GGAUCAGGUAGGGAUACCCGCUGAACUUAAGCAUAUCAAUAAGCGGAGGAAAAGAAACCAACCGGGAUUGCCUUAGUAACGGCGAGUGAAGCGGCAACAGCUCAGAGUUGAAAUCUGGCCCUUUCGGGGUCCGAGUUGUAAUCUGUAGAGAGUGUUUCGGGCGAGGCCACGGUCUAAGUUCGUUGGAACACGGCGUCAUAGAGGGUGAGAAUCCCGUAUGCGACCGUGGCUCGAGCCCAUGUGAAGCCUCUUCGACGAGUCGAGUUGUUUGGGAAUGCAGCUCAAAAUGGGUGGUAAAUUUCAUCUAAAGCUAAAUACGGGCUGGAGACCGAUAGCGCACAAGUAGAGUGAUCGAAAGAUGAAAAGCACUUUGGAAAGAGAGUGAAACAGUACGUGAAAUUGUUGAAA